UACAGAGGAUGCAAGCGUUAUCCGGAAUUACUGGGCGUAAAGAGCUCGUAGGUGGUUUGUCGCGUUGUUCGUGAAAACUCACAGCUCAACUGUGGGCGUGCGGGCGAUACGGGCAGACUAGAGUACUGCAGGGGAGACUGGAAUUCCUGGUGUAGCGGUGGAAUGCGCAGAUAUCAGGAGGAACACCGGUGGCGAAGGCGGGUCUCUGGGCAGUAACUGACGCUGAGGAGCGAAAGCGUGGGGAGCGAACAGG
rnacentral:rRNA from 1 species